rnacentral:rRNA from 1 species
GAUGAACGCUGGCGGCGUGCCUAAUACAUGCAAGUCGAGCGAACGGACGAGAAGCUUGCUUCUCUGAUGUUAGCGGCGGACGGGUGAGUAACACGUGGAUAACCUACCUAUAAGACUGGGAUAACUUCGGGAAACCGGAGCUAAUACCGGAUAAUAUUUUGAACCGCAUGGUUCAAAAGUGAAAGACGGUCUUGCUGUCACUUAUAGAUGGAUCCGCGCUGCAUUAGCUAGUUGGUAAGGUAACGGCUUACCAAGGCAACGAUGCAUAGCCGACCUGAGAGGGUGAUCGGCCACACUGGAACUGAGACACGGUCCAGACUCCUACGGGAGGCAGCAGUAGGGAAUCUUCCGCAAUGGGCGAAAGCCUGACGGAGCAACGCCGCGUGAGUGAUGAAGGUCUUCGGAUCGUAAAACUCUGUUAUUAGGGAAGAACAUAUGUGUAAGUAACUGUGCACAUCUUGACGGUACCUAAUCAGAAAGCCACGGCUAACUACGUGCCAGCAGCCGCGGUAAUACGUAGGUGGCAAGCGUUAUCCGGAAUUAUUGGGCGUAAAGCGCGCGUAGGCGGUUUUUUAAGUCUGAUGUGAAAGCCCACGGCUCAACCGUGGAGGGUCAUUGGAAACUGGAAAACUUGAGUGCAGAAGAGGAAAGUGGAAUUCCAUGUGUAGCGGUGAAAUGCGCAGAGAUAUGGAGGAACACCAGUGGCGAAGGCGACUUUCUGGUCUGUAACUGACGCUGAUGUGCGAAAGCGUGGGGAUCAAACAGGAUUAGAUACCCUGGUAGUCCACGCCGUAAACGAUGAGUGCUAAGUGUUAGGGGGUUUCCGCCCCUUAGUGCUGCAGCUAACGCAUUAAGCACUCCGCCUGGGGAGUACGACCGCAAGGUUGAAACUCAAAGGAAUUGACGGGGACCCGCACAAGCGGUGGAGCAUGUGGUUUAAUUCGAAGCAACGCGAAGAACCUUACCAAAUCUUGACAUCCUUUGACAACUCUAGAGAUAGAGCUUUCCCCUUCGGGGGACAAAGUGACAGGUGGUGCAUGGUUGUCGUCAGCUCGUGUCGUGAGAUGUUGGGUUAAGUCCCGCAACGAGCGCAACCCUUAAGCUUAGUUGCCAUCAUUAAGUUGGGCACUCUAAGUUGACUGCCGGUGACAAACCGGAGGAAGGUGGGGAUGACGUCAAAUCAUCAUGCCCCUUAUGAUUUGGGCUACACACGUGCUACAAUGGACAAUACAAAGGGCAGCGAAACCGUGAGGUCAAGCAAAUCCCAUAAAGCUGUUCUCAGUUCGGAUUGUAGUCUGCAACUCGACUACAUGAAGCUGGAAUCGCUAGUAAUCGUAGAUCAGCAUGCUACGGUGAAUACGUUCCCGGGUCU